rnacentral:rRNA from 1 species
UACGUAGGGUGCAAGCGUUAAUCGGAAUUACUGGGCGUAAAGCGUGCGCAGGCGGUUAUGCAAGACAGAUGUGAAAUCCCCGGGCUCAACCUGGGAACUGCAUUUGUGACUGCAUGGCUGGAGUGCGGCAGAGGGGGAUGGAAUUCCGCGUGUAGCAGUGAAAUGCGUAGAUAUGCGGAGGAACACCGAUGGCGAAGGCAAUCCCCUGGGCCUGCACUGACGCUCAUGCACGAAAGCGUGGGGAGCGAACAGG